rnacentral:rRNA from 1 species
AUUGAACGCUGGCGGCAGGCUUAACACAUGCAAGUCGAGCGGGGUGAUGGUGCUUGCACUAUCACUUAGCGGCGGACGGGUGAGUAAUGCUUAGGAAUCUGCCUAUUAGUGGGGGACAACAUCUCGAAAGGGAUGCUAAUACCGCAUACGUCCUACGGGAGAAAGCAGGGGAUCACUUGUGACCUUGCGCUAAUAGAUGAGCCUAAGUCGGAUUAGCUAGUUGGUGGGGUAAAGGCCUACCAAGGCGACUAUCUGUAGCGGGGCUGAGAGGAUGAUCCGCCACACUGGGACUGAGACACGGCCCAGACUCCUACGGGAGGCAGCAGUGGGGAAUAUUGGACAAUGGGGGGAACCCUGAUCCAGCCAUGCCGCGUGUGUGAAGAAGGCCUUAUGGUUGUAAAGCACUUUAAGCGAGGAGGAGGCUCUUUUGGUUAAUACCCAAGAUGAGUGGACGUUACUCGCAGAAUAAGCACCGGCUAACUCUGUGCCAGCCGCCGCCGUAA